rnacentral:rRNA from 1 species
UACGUAGGUGGCGAGCGUUAUCCGGAAUUACUGGGCGUAAAGCGCACGCAGGCGGCCGCUUAAGUCUGACGUGAAAGCUCCUGGCUUAACUGGGAGAGGUCGUUGGAGACUGGGUGGCUUGAGGCGAUGAGAGGGGUGUGGAAUUCCCGGUGUAGUGGUGGAAUGCGUAGAUAUCGGGAGGAACACCAGUGGCGAAGGCGGCACCCUGGCAUCGGCCUGACGCUGAUGUGCGAAAGCGUGGGGAGCGAACGGG